UUCGCCUUUACGGUUACCUUGUUACGACUUACUCCCCCUUGCUGAACCGAAGUUCGAGCGCCCCGGAUGAGGCACCCUCACUCCGACCCAACUCGGAUGAGUUGACGGGCGGUGUGUGCAAAGAGCAGGGGCACAUUCACCGCGGGAUGUUGACCCGCGAUUACUACGGAAUCCAUUUUCACGAGGGCGAGUUACAGCCCUCGAUCCAGACUACGAUGGGGUUUCAGGAUUGCCUCCCCCUUUCGAGGUCGGGUCCCAUUGUCCCCACCUUUGUAGCGCGCGUGUUGCCCGGAAGAUUCGGGGCAUACGGACCUACCGUAGACCUCUCCUUCCUCUGCCUUAACGGCAGCGAUCCCGCUAGUGUGCUCCUACAAUCGCUUGUAAGAUCGCGACUAACGGCGAGGGUCUCGUUCGUUAUCUGACUUAACAGAACGCCUUACGGUACGAACUGACGACGGCCAUGCACCACCUCUCGGAGAAUCGGGCAAGGUCUUCAGCCUGGCUUUCAUCCCUCCGUCGCCUCCGGUGAGUUUUCCGGCGUUGAAUCCAAUUGAACCGCACGCUCCUCCCGUUGCGGUGCUCUCCCGCCAAUUCCUUUAAGUUUCAGUCUUGCGACCGUACUCCCCAAGCGGCAGACUCAACACCUUCGCUCCGGCACUGGGAGCCCACGCAGGACCCCCAACACCAAGUCUGCAGCGUUUACACCCUAGACUACCGGGGUAUCUAAUCCCGUUUGCGCCCUAUGGCUUCGUCCCUCACUGUCGGAUUCGUUCUAGUGAACGCCUUCGCCACUGGUGGUCCCCCCAGGGAUUACAGGAUUUUACCCCUACCCCGGGAGUACCUUCACCCUCUCCGAUCCAAGCCGAGCAGUGUCU
rnacentral:rRNA from 1 species